rnacentral:rRNA from 1 species
UACGUAGGGGGCAAGCGUUGUCCGGAUUUAUUGGGCGUAAAGAGCGUGUAGGCGGCUUUGCAAGUCCGUUGUGAAAACUCGAGGCUCAACCUCGAGACGUCGGCGGAAACCAUCUGGCUAGAGUCCGGAAGAGGAGAGUGGAAUUCCUGGUGUAGCGGUGAAAUGCGCAGAUAUCAGGAAGAACACCCGUGGCGAAGGCGGCUCUCUAGGACGGUACUGACGCUGAGACGCGAAAGCGUGGGGAGCGAACAGG